GCUUUACUGUCUGAGUUGGUAAAGAAUCUGCCUGCAAUGCGGGAGACCUGGGUUUGAUCCCUGGGUUGGGAA
rnacentral:tRNA from 1 species